UACAGAGGGUGCGAGCGUUUGUCCGGAAUUACUGGGCGUAAAGGGCGCGUAGGCGGCACUGUUAGUCAGGCGUGAAAUUCCUGGGCUCAACCUGGGGACUGCGCUUGAUACGGCAGAGCUUGAGGAUGGAAGAGGGUCGCGGAAUUCCCAGUGUAGAGGUGAAAUUCGUAGAUAUUGGGAAGAACACCGGUGGCGAAGGCGGCGACCUGGUCCAUUACUGACGCUGAGGCGCGACAGCGUGGGGAGCAACAGG
rnacentral:rRNA from 1 species